UCCCAGUACAAAAAUAUAUGUGACCGUUUACUUCUCCAAUUAUAUUCUUUUAUUGGUUAUCUAUUUCUCCAAGCAAGAGUCAGACCCAUCCUUAAACAUACAUUCCUUAAAUCACAUUUUUUAUCAAUUAUCCAGCAAAGGAUAAUUGAUUAAUUUUGACCCCAAUUUCUGAAAGUAAAACAUUCUUCACAUAUAUUUCAUGCCAGGGCUGGAAUCCACCACAAACUCCACUUCCCAGAACACACUGCAGCCUUAUAACAAGGCCGCCACAGACUACAAUCCCCAGCACCUCACUCCACCAGCACAUACACUCUCACCUGAAUACUAAUCAUGUGCACCUGCUUCCAAUUACACACACUGCCUAUAUAAAUGGACUCUGAACUUUGCUUUAUUGUGAAGUAACACUCAGUCUACACUUACCUGAACCUACCAAGCAGUCUGAGUCUGAGUCUGAGUCUGAGUCUGAGUCUGAUAUUCUAGUUUUGAUCUUGUCUUGUUUCCUGGUUUUUACAUGCUUGGAUUUUGCCACUGAAUUGUUGUUUGCGGAUUUCCUGACCUUUUGCCAGUUCCUGUUUAUGAAUUUUGCUUCACGUUUGAUAAUAAAUUCUAAACUGCAUUUUCAUCCAACUCUAUUGCAUGACAUACUACUUCACCAUCACCAUGGAUGCGGCAGGAGAGUCAAACUGGCACAACAUCAUGGCAGCUCAGGGACAGCUGGUAGGAGAACACCAACAACAUCUGGUGGAGCUAGAUGAGAAAUUAAACAUGCUGGCUUAUCUAUCGCCGUGAUGAGUACGCAGGAGAAACGUCCCAGUGCAAAAGCUUUCUGCUACAGUGCUCACUGUACUUCCCUGGCCAAGAGGGUGUCAAGGAGGGAAACUGUUAUUGUCAUAGGAUCGCUUCAUGGAAAUGUUCCAAAAAGUUGUCAAUCACACCCCCGAAGGCAAGAAAAUUGGUGAGCGACUCUUGAUGGUAACACAAGGGAGGAGAAAUGCUCUUGAACAGGUACUGGAGUCCCGCACUCUUGCUGCAGGAAGCAGAUGCUUUCCGCCAGGGUCUCAAUCAGGAAGUGCUCACUGAACUGGCCUGCCAUGAUGUCAAAAUGCCUCUUGAUUCCCUGAUUGAUCUAGCCGUUCAUCUGGAACAUCUCAUCUGCAUCCUCCAACUGCAUAAGAGGACGUCAUGCCAAUCAAUUUGUAGCACAGUACCCUGUCUGUGAAAAAACCCCGGUCCAACCCAGUCUGCUGAGAGGACCUCGACUUCUUCAUGUACUCCCUCGGUGAGACCAUCUUAGUUUUUCUCUCACUAAUCAUUAACGCCAAGUGUACAGAUGAAACACUCAGAUCGUGUCUCUGACCUCUCAGUGCUGAUCGACUCUGGAGCAGCAGGAAAUUUCAUGGAUCACAAUACCGUCAUGAAGCUCAUCAUACCCACAGAACCCCUACAUUAUCCACUUAAGAUUUGUGCCGUUGAUGGACAACCCAGAGGAAAUGGAAGUGUCACAUUAUGCACCUGUAGCAACCUUACAGGUUCGGGCAGGAAUAAGGAAGCAGGAGGCAGGCUUGGGAACAACUCAGAGGCGUUUUAUUCUCCAAUUUUUAACUUUCGCUUUCAGCGGCUUAUUUUGUUUGCGCGCGCACACACACGCACGCACGCAAGUGGCUCUGUGCUGGAUAUCUCUCUCUCAAGGCGCUUGUCUCUCUCCUUUUUAUCCUUGUCCCAGGUCACUGCAACACAACACUCGUUAGUAGAAUUCCCCGCAGGUGUGCAUUCCUUACCACUCACCUUCUCCGGCUCUGCCCUCCAUUCACAAACCGACGCUCGAUCACACCCGUUUCCACAUACCCCCACCACCCGACUCAGGCCGGGGAGCCAUCCGGCCUGCUACCGACUACCCCCGCACCAGUAUCUCUGCCAAUAUCCCUCGAAUUAAAGCGAGCCACGACUAACUGAUCGACCAGCUUGUCAAUGCGAGGCGUUGGGUAUGUGUCAAACUUGGACACCACGGUGACUUUUCUAAAGGCCAUACAAAACCAAACAGUCCCAUCGGCCUUGGCCACCAAAGCCAGUGGGCUGCUCCACUCACUGUGGGGCUCCUUGAUUACUCCCGUGUCUUUUUCCACAUCAGUCUUAAUAAAUUUUUUAAAAAUAAUGUCACGA